AAUCCGCCCCCUGCAUCAGGUGCCUGUUCGAUCUCCCUCGCCGGGGAUGAUCUGGAACAGGUUAAACGGGAAGUGUGGUGCGUCCGGGCAACUUUUUUGAAGUGGCCGCCCGCGACAAAACCACCGCUGCCCCCGCAACGGUAAAUGCCCUCUCCAACGGAGAGGUCACAAGCCCGAAACCGGCCUGGUGAGCGUCGCAGUC
rnacentral:ncRNA from 2 species